rnacentral:rRNA from 1 species
UCCAGACUCCUACGGGAGGCAGCAGUGUGUAAUAUUGCACAAUGGGCGCAAGCCUGAUGCAGCCAUGCCGCGUGUAUGAAGAAGGCCUUCGGGUUGUAAAGUACUUUCAGCGGGGAGGAAGGUGUUGCGGUUAAUAACCGCAGCAAUUGACGUUACCCGCAGAAGAAGCACCGGCUAACUCCGUGCCAGCAGCCGCGGUAAUACGGAGGGUGCAAGCGUUAAUCGGAAUUACUGGGCGUAAAGCGCACGCAGGCG